GAACGAACGCUGGCGGCAGGCUUAACACAUGCAAGUCGAACGCACCGCAAGGUGAGUGGCAGACGGGUGAGUAACGCGUGGGAAUCUACCUAGCUCUUCGGGAUAGCUCCGGGAAACUGGAAUUAAUACCGAGUACGCCCUACGGGGGAAAGAUUUAUCGGAGUUAGAUGAGCCCGCGUUGGAUUAGCUAGUUGGUGGGGUAAUGGCCUACCAAGGCGACGAUCCAUAGCUGGUCUGAGAGGAUGAUCAGCCACACUGGACUGAGAC
rnacentral:rRNA from 1 species